GAAGUCAGCUUUUUGGAAGGAAGAAAAGUGAGAUUCAGUCUCUUAUGGCUGCUGUCACCAUAUAAUAUGAGGGUCAGGAGCGGGGGAUGGAAUGCACACCAAGAAGCAGGAGGAUCUGACUGUCCAGAGGAUGAAGAAUCCAGGUGCCUCUCUGACUGUGGAGAAGGAGAGAAAAUCUUGACAUCAAUUGUCUCUGGUCCCAGGUGAGCCCCAGUCCCACCACAACCCUGCCCUUGGUGUCUGGCAUCCCAAUAUCUUCAUCAUAAGCUUUGCUUUGCAGAGUUUGAGGUGAGUUUGUAUAAUUUGAAAACCAGAGUUCUAACUGAUGCAUGUAUUUAACAAAUAAAAUACUAUGAUCUUGAUUUCACAGGUAUUUUUAGACUUGGGGGAGCCAGGGCAGCCAUGGGCGAUGUGCACUCCUGCAGGGACAUGCGGGGCAAUUCAUCCACUCUUGACUGCUGCAGUUUACAGGUGCUUCCUGUGUGGCCUGCCAUUUGUACUGAAUGGUCACACUGAAAAAAGUGGAGGAUUCCUAAAUGUUCUCACAUGUAAUCUCAUCUCUCAACUGCGCUGCUGCCAAGUUACUGGAAGAAAGAGCGGAUGCUAUAAAUGGAAGACACGUUGCUGCGCACUGUGUACCAAAUGAACUACGAGGGCUCGAUGGUCAUCGAUGUGUGUCUCCAAGGGGAUUUGUGAGUCGUAAUGAGAGGGUGUGCCUCAGUACCUAAAAGGGCUUUUUGAGACAGUUAGUUGUUAGUUGUUACCUAUUACCUUAUGAUACUGAGCCAAAUGCUUGCAUUAUUAAUUCUUGACUCUAUUAUCUGAAGGUUUGAUGACAUUUCAAUACUCUCCAAAGGUAAUUUUGUAGCCAAUACUGAGUAAUUGAGGGGCUGUACUUUACGGAUUCCAAUUUCUUUCUCUUUCUUGUUUCCCUCUCCAACUGCUCACCCUUUGUCCAAGGCAUUGCAUCACAUCACUCCCAUAGGAGGUGUGCUGAGAGCAGGCAGAAAAAUCUCAACUCCAAAUGGCCUCUCUUCUUCAGUGGCUAUCCGAAACGAUCUGAAAGGAUAUGGACACCUUUACUCAUGUUGCUCCUUCUGUACUCUUCCUCCUGCCAUCACCUACUCUUCUCCAUGCCUACCUGCUGCACGUGCACAGACAUACUCACUCACUCCUUGGCAAUGUACAGCUGAGGGUAGGUUAUAGUUAUCCAGCAUUCCUGCAUAAGAAAAUAGAAAAAUUUUUUAGAAGAACAUACUAUUAAUAUAA